CCGCUGAACUUAAGCAUAUCAAUAAGCGGAGGA
rnacentral:rRNA from 4 species